rnacentral:lncRNA from 1 species
AAACAUGUUCCAUAUUCAAUUCUAAUGAUGGGUAACACAACAUGUUCCAUAUUCAACUCUAAUGAUUGGUAACACAACUCUAUAGACAACAUGUUCCAUAUUCAAUUCUAAUGAUAGGUAACACAACAUGUUCCAUAUUCAACUCUAAUGAUGGGUAACACAACAUGUUCCAUAUUCAACUCUAAUGAUAGGUAACACAACUCUAUAGACAACAUGUUCCAUAUUCAACUCUAAUGAUAGUAGGUAACACAACAUGUUCCAUAUUCAAUUCCAUUUGGGGCUUGUGAGCGUUAUUUCCCCCCUCUCUGUUCAUUUCAUUGACUGUGAAGAUUGAAUCAAGGCAGACAUCUGAAAAAUCAAAGGAGGAGGAACUCAUAUAAAAUUUAGUACAGCAGAGCGGGAGGAAAGGAACUGGAUGUCAAGGAGCCAAAAUCAUACAUCAGUCACGGCUUGACAAAACACACACAGUCUGUUCUGCUGGGAAACACAGAAACCAGGCCUGGUCUUUACAGACUGUCUGUUCUGCUGGGGAACAUAGAACCAGGCCUGGUCUUUACAGAUUGUCUGUUCUGCUGGGGAACAUAGAACCAGGCCUGGUCUUUACACACUGUCUGUUCUGCUGGGAAACACAGAAACCAGGCCUGGUCUUUACAGACUGUCUGUUCUGCUGGGAAACACAGAACCCAGGCCUGGUCUUUACAGACUGUCUGUUCUGCUGGGAACAUAACCCGGCCUGGUC